CGCAACGAGCGCAACCCUUGUCCUUAGUUGCUACGCAAGAGCACUCUAAGGAGACUGCCGGUGACAAACCGGAGGAAGGUGGGGAUGACGUCAAGUCCUCAUGGCCCUUAUGGGUAGGGCUUCACACGUCAUACAAUGGUCGGAACAGAGGGUCGCCAACCCGCGAGGGGGAGCUAAUCCCAGAAAACCGAUCGUAGUCCGGAUUGCACUCUGCAACUCGAGUGCAUGAAGCUGGAAUCGCUAGUAAUCGCGGAUCAGCAUGCCGCGGUGAAUACGUUCCCGGGUCUUGUACACACCGCCCGUCACACCAUGGGAGUGGGUUUUACCAGAAGUGGCUAGUCUAACCGCAAGGAGGACGGUCACCACGGUAGGAUUCAUGACUGGGGUGAAGUCGUAACAAGGUAGCCGUAUCGGAAGGUGCGGCUGGAUCACCUCCUUUC
rnacentral:rRNA from 1 species